rnacentral:rRNA from 1 species
UACGAAGGGGGCUAGCGUUGUUCGGAAUUACUGGGCGUAAAGCGCACGUAGGCGGACAUUUAAGUCAGGGGUGAAACUCCCGGGGCUCAACCCCGGAACUGCCUUUGAUACUGGGUGUCUUGAGUGUGGUAGAGGUGAGUGGAAUUGCGAGUGUAGAGGUGAAAUUCGUAGAUAUUCGCAGGAACACCAGUGGCGAAGGCGGCUCACUGGACCACAACUGACGGCUGAGGUGACGAAAGCGUGGGGAGCAAACAGG